AGAGUUUGAUCCUGGCUCAGGAUGAACGCUAGCGGUAUGCUUAACACAUGCAAGUCGAGGGGCAGCGGGGUAGUGGCAACACUACCGCCGGCGACCGGCGCACGGGUGCGUAACACGUAUGCAACCUGCCUGUAACAGGGGGAUAACCCGGAGAAAUCCGGACUAAUACCCCAAGGCAAUCGGGGGAGGCAUCUCCUCCGGUUUAAAGAGACUCGGUUACAGAUGGGCAUGCGGAUGAUUAGCUAGUAGGCGGGGUAACGGCCCACCUAGGCGACGAUCAUUAGGGGUUCUGAGAGGAAGGUCCCCCACAUUGGUACUGAGACACGGACCAAACUCCUACGGGAGGCAGCAGUGAGGAAUAUUGGUCAAUGGGCGCGAGCCUGAACCAGCAACGCCGCGUGAGGGAAGACUGCCCUAUGGGUUGUAAACCUCUUUUGCGCAGGAGUAAAACUGCGGAUGUAUCCGCAUUUGCAAGUACUGUGCGAAUAAGGAUCGGCUAACUCCGUGCCAGCAGCCGCGGUAAUACGGAGGAUCCGAGCGUUAUCCGGAUUUAUUGGGUUUAAAGGGUGCGUAGGCGGGAGAUCAAGUCAGUGGUGGAAACUUGCGGCUCAACCGCGAGCCUGCCGUUGAAACUGGUUUUCUUGAGUGUGAGUGAGGUACGCGGAAUGUGUCGUGUAGCGGUGAAAUGCUUAGAUAUGACACAGAACACCGAUUGCGAAGGCAGCGUACUGGUACAUAACUGACGCUGAGGCACGAAAGCGUGGGGAUCGAACAGGAUUAGAUACCCUGGUAGUCCACGCAGUAAACGAUGAUACUAAGCUGUUUGCGAUACAGUGCAAGUGGCUAAGGGAAACCGAUAAGUAAUCCACCUGGGGAGUACGUUCGCAAGAAUGAAACUCAAAGGAAUUGACGGGGGCCCGCACAAGCGGAGGAACAUGUGGUUUAAUUCGAUGAUACGCGAGGAACCUUACCCGGGCUUGAAAUGCGGAGGAAUGGGCUGGAAACAGUCCAGCCGGCAACGGUCUCCGUGUAGGUGCUGCAUGGUUGUCGUCAGCUCGUGCCGUGAGGUGUCGGCUUAAGUGCCAUAACGAGCGCAACCCCCGCCGGCAGUUACUAACGGGUGAUGCCGAGGACUCUGCCGGGACUGCCACCGCAAGGUGCGAGGAAGGUGGGGAUGACGUCAAAUCAGCACGGCCCUUACGUCCGGGGCGACACACGUGUUACAAUGGAUGGGACAGCGAGUUGCGAGCCGGCGACGGUGAGCUAAUCUUGAAACCCGUUCUCAGUUCGGAUCCGGAGUCUGCAACCCGACUCCGUGAAGCUGGAUUCGCUAGUAAUCGCGCAUCAGCCAUGGCGCGGUGAAUACGUUCCCGGGCCUUGCACACACAACCCGUCAAG
rnacentral:rRNA from 1 species